rnacentral:rRNA from 1 species
UACGUAGGGGGCAAGCGUUGUCCGGAUUUAUUGGGCGUAAAGAGCGUGUAGGCGGCCAGGUAGGUCUGCUGUGAAAACUCGAGGCUUAACCUCGAGAUGUCGGCGGAAACCAUCUGGCUAGAGUCCGGAAGAGGAGAAUGGAAUUCCCGGUGAAGCGGUGAAAUGCGCAGAUAUCGGGAAGAACACCCGUGGCGAAGGCGGUUCUCUGGGACGGUACUGACGCUGAGACGCGAAAGCGUGGGGAGCGAACAGG